UCGAAAAUUUUCGGAAUAUAUGCAUGGAGAUCUACGGAUUAGACCCCGCCCAUUUCUACACCUCUCCGGGUCUUGCGUGGCAGGCUGCUUUAUAGAUGACAGGCGUGGAACUGGAGCUUUUGACCGAUCCCAACAUCCACUUGUCUGUCGAAAAGGGGUUGCUGGGUGAUAUUUCCACAAUCGCCAAACGACAUGCCAAGGCUAACAACUCUUACCUGGAUGAUUAUGACCCCGACAAAGCAUUCAAUUCACGCUUCCACUGUCGUCAGGGGAGGUGCGGUUAUCAUCUCCGCACAGCCAAUCAGAAUCGCAGAAGAAUUGUCCGCCAUUACCUCCGUCAAAACUUGUGAUGACGGAGGUUUUGAGGUACAAAUGUUUUAGCCUAAUUAACUUCGAGUUCUCAUAAAAUUGGUGGAAUUUUGUGCGUCGGGGAAAUGCAACAGUGAUUCACGUUACCCAGAAAGGAUAUUAAAAGUGGUGUUUAUCCUAUUUCCAAAGCCAAAAUCACAAAAAGAUUAAUGUUUACGUUGGAUAAAGGCGUGCGGUAGGCCCCACAGUAAGAGCAGAAUGGACCGGCACACAAAGUAAGUUAGUCUUAGCAGACACUUAUGUAUUAGAUAAUAGUAAUAGUUAAAUCAGGGACUGAUAAUAAUACAUGCCCAUGUCAUGUGUAUGAAUGUACUAAGAGCUACAGGUGCUUGGGUUUAAGACCCCCCCCCCCCUUCUCCCGAAUAACUUGCACGACUUGAUUUAAACUAUUUCUUGUUGAAAAUCUCACUAAUGCAUGUCAACAAUGUCUUGCAUACCCCAAAAUAGCUCUUUUUAAAAAAUUACCCCCACUGGAUAUAACAAUUCGUGUAGCUAGGUUAUUCAAGGGGGGGGGGGCGGUGUCAUGAACCCAAGCACCUGUGCUAAGAGCUACACAAUACUUUUUUUUUUUUUUUUACUAUAAUAUUAUCUAUUAAAAAGAAUCCCAUAUCUAAACUAUUUUCAUAUCUAGGGUCAAUUCAUUUAAUGUUUACACCAAUAUAUAUGCAGUUUCUGGUCUGGUGUCUUAAAUUUUCCUUGCUCAGCCAUGUAUAUCAUAACAUGACUGUAAGAGCGCCAUAUUCAAGGUUUUCUUUUCAUGAUUCCUACAAUAGAUCAUACCAGGGGAUAAAGUUCUAAAGUUUCAGUAAUCAGACUGAUUCAGUGGUCAAAGUUUUUAAAUAUCAAUAGAAUUUAUGUCCAUAUAUAUUUUAUAAUACAUGUAAAUGGUUUUAAAUUAGAAUUUAGAUUUCAUAAUAAUUAGAGCAAACUGAAAUAAGUAGUUAAUAAAUUGUUGGGUGUAAUGUAUGCAUAGGAACUUUCAUAUAAUAGGUCAGGUGACCUUUUAAAAAUUCCAUGGCCCCUCUCAACAUCUAUAUUUUACUUCCAAAUGCUAAAAAAAAAAUUGUUGUUUCUUUAUAGAUUCAUUGGAUAUACUUGUAACAGCAGCACGAGUCAGAGAAUUUACAAGACCAGUUAACAACAGCAGAAAAUGUCUUUAAUCAACAGAGCAUACUUAAUCAUCACCUGCAACUCCAGUUAUCAAUGGAAGCCCAAGAUUAACCCCACCAACAGGCCACCCCUUUUGACAUUAACAGUACUCUACAGCAAGAGAAAAAUAAACCAGGGUUGUUUUUAUAUUAUAUCAAUUUGAGACAUGCCACAUUUUGUACUUUGUUAAGAGGUUUUUUUUAUAUACAUCUGAGCAAAUUCCCCAGUGUGUAAAAAAGGAGGGACAUAACAAAUAUGACAAAACAAUCUCAGUUGUUAUUAACACUGAUGAGGCUGAGACAUAAUUUUGAAAUCAAGGACUUGGCAUCAAGAUUUUGUAUUUCAACACAGUGUAUCAGUGAUGUAUUCUGUGCCUGAAUUGACCUUAUAUUGUGUUAGGUUGUGUUUCAAUAUAGCCCUAUAGGAAUGAUAUUAACAACAUGACAACUGAAUAAAAACUCAUUUCCCAACAACCAUCGCUAUCAUUGAUUGUGCAGAAAGGAAAUCACAGAAACCAUCUUCUUUAAAACUGCAGUUACAAAUUAUACAUUCUGACUACAGAUCAGCUACAACCUAAAGGGGACUUGUGGAUUGUGAUCCUUUAGGGGACACAAUGGAAACUAGAUGUAUGCUGUAUACUAAUUUGUGUUAUCCUGGAUAAAUAAAGGCUAUUAUUAUUAUCAUAUUUGUUUGUGAAUUAUUUACUGGAUCAGUGUCAGAUGUCGCUGUUACAGAGAAUAGUGGAUUUUACAAACUCCUUUGUUAACUGAUUGUGCAGGGUUGGAAAAAAAGUGGUCAAUAUGAGUAUUGACCGGGCCAGUGGUCAAUACUGGUUAAAACCGGUCAAUAGUGGUUAAUACAGGUCGAUUGAAAAUUAUUUGGUCAUAGUCUGUGUUAUUCAUUUUGACCAUUAUGGUAAAUCAGGAAACUAUAUACUAACUAGUUAGUAUAUAGGUCCCUGGGUAAAUACUGUAAUUCAUAACAUGCACUAUCAGUUUAUAAUAUACUUAUAAGUCAUAAUAUUAAAUAAAUAAUGUAUACAAUGACUGUUGAAUUGGGGAUGAUGUAAAAGUUUCUGUUCAAAUUCCUUAGUUUAACAAGAACUACCUAUAAGUAUUGUUUCAUUAAUCUUCAUUUUAACUGUUGAAUAAACAUUUGAGGGGGUUGGUUGGUGAUGUUUUCAUAACAAUAACAGUCACACUGGUCAUCUUUGGUCCCAGCCUAUGCUUAUUAACACCUGUCAACUCUGCUUCCUGUGCUCAGGUAAUGUCCAGCUACCUUUUACUCUUAAUCUGCCCAGGUACAUGUAUUGAGAGGUCUGUCUCAAAUUGUCAAGCUAUGCUAUAGAACUGUGACCCUCUGGUAGGUACUGAAGAUAUUUCGGUCAGUUUCAGCAAACCAAAUAUAUUAAAUUUAUGAAAUUACAUUUGAUUAUCUAAUGAAAAAUAUUAACCCAUAUAAUGAAAAGACUUAAUUUAUCUUUAUCUUUGCAAGAAAUGUACAAAAAUAGGUAAAUAAGUAAAUCAUAAAUAAUAGUAAAAUAAAAGAUGCAAAAGCAAGCAAGCAGAUGAAACAUUUUAUUGAACCGGUCAACUCAGCAUAUAUGAUAUAGUUAUUCAGUUUCAAUCGGACAACAAACAUCGUCAAUUCCGUAACAAAACAAUUAUUCAAAACUCGGAAAACGUUUCGUAAUUAACCCAGCUGUGCACGAACAGUAAGCAUCGAUGACAGCCGAUCCUGUUAUUCGAUGGUUAGACGAUGUGGUGUUUCGAAUUCUUUACUUCAAAUGCAGCGAAAGCAUCUAGCGCUAACAAAUAAGUUAUAUUAUAAUUACUGUUUCCUCCGCGUUUUUACUCACUGAAAUUAUGUUAACAAAACCUUCUCUGAAGUAUGUCAGACCCUUUGACGGACUUUUCUGUGAAAAUUCACGAGUAAACGAGGCGAUUGAAAAGAUAUCCUGUAUAAGAUCUAAAUCGUCCGCCAUGUUGUUUACACAAGUUGACGGAGUCUGAAAACAUGUGACGUUCGUUGUCAUCGGUGGGCGGGGCGUGGAAGCGUGAAUUACAUCGUCUACCUGGAUGCCAACAACCUAUAUGGAUGGACCAUGAGUCAGUCGCUGCCCACUCACGACUUUGAAUGGCUGCCCGCAGAAGACAUCCACAGCUUGGACUUGACCUCGAUACCAGAUGAUGGUGAUCACGGGCAUGUUCACCUACCAGCAAUCCUAUCGCUAUGUGGAUCACCUACAAGACUUUGCCGCCAACUAUAACGCAACGUAUCACAGAACGAUCGGCAUGCCUCCCGAUAAAGUGACCAUAGCGAAGGAGACGGAUGUAUGGUGGAGGAUGUAUUGGCCCAAGAAGACACCCAUACAAACAAAAACAAAACGACCGAGGAAACCCUUCAGAUUCAAAGUGGGAGAUCGUGUGCGCAUCAGUCAUCUUAGAAACAUAUUUUCACGUGAAUACAACCAAUUUUCGUGGUAUCAGAGAGACGGUUAAGAAGAGGAUUACCCAUAUACAGACUCAAAGACUAUCUAAACGAAGAGAUCAAAGGAACAUUUUACCAAGCGGAACUCCAAAAAGUGGACGUUCGUGAAAAUGACGAAUUCAAAGUGGAAAAAAAUAUUAAGAUCUAGAGGUCGCGGCCUUAAUAAGUAAUACCUUGUAAAAUGGUUACAUUGGCCUUCAAAGUUUAAUUCAUGGGUCAAUGCAGAUGAUGUGAAAGCAUAUAAUUGAUUGUACAUGACAUUUAUUUUUGUAAAUUUGUAUGAAAAAAAUAAAUGUGAGAAAAACCGAAUAUUCGUGUCGUUAUUUAAUGUGUUUAUCGUCAAUUUAUACCAGAAAAAAUGUCCAUGGAGAUAUCUAAAAAAAAAAAAACAUUCCUGAUUGGCUACUUAUCACGUCACCAUUAAGAUAAGCAAUUGUCCAAUUGGAAAUUCUAAAUCAUUUAUUUAUAGAUAUUUAUUGAUUUCUGCUAAUGCAUAGCAAUAUCACUUGAAUAGUCAUUAUCUAACCUAUCCAGUGGUCUCUUUGUUGAACUUAAGGGAUGGUAAAUAAAAGAAUGGUGACGUCAUAGAAAUUAUAGGGGGGGGGUAAACAAAGGGAUUUAUUGUUCUUGAGAAUAAUAGAAAGGGUCUUAUGACAACCUUGACCUACUUAAGGACCGAAGGGAAUAACUGACACUGAUCUCUCGUGCUCAAUGGAUCGGAGAUUACAUGGGAGUAAUAUGACACGGAUCCAUAUCAAUGGAUCAGAGAUGAAAGGUUAUUUUCUAUUAGAAUAUUACAUCUAUGUUCUCUUCCUUGAGUUUGCAUAUCAUGACAUCAAAUACUUGAUACUUUAUGAUUUUUAUUAUGUGUUCCUUUGCAGUAAUAAAUUAAAAUGUUCGAUGGGAUGAUACAAUUAAAUGUUCUUGUUUAUCUUACUACCCGUGACAUUAUUUAUCAGACUGUCAAUGAAUCUUAAUGUCUCGUGCUGUGUAUUCUUCCGUUCAAUAACCUAUUGAAUGACUAGGGGAAAAUUGUACAGGAAACUCUGGAUAGGAAUAUGUGUGAAUGAGCCUUUGUAUUAUCCUCUCUUGUAAAACUAACUGCAUUGAGGGUUUAAAAGACUCGUGUUUACUCAUUCGAUUCAAACAUGUUUCUACCUGUAUAAUGUUUCGGAUGACUAAGUUACAUUUAAAUCUCCUAAGUGUGUUCUCAAUCUUGACCUCAAUUGUUUACAUUUACGGGACGCCCUGGUGGAUUCCUCAUCCAUUAUUCUUAUCGUUCCCCACAGGUAUGAUGACAUGGAAUUUCCAAUAGAAUUUAUUACCAUCAAUCUAUUCAAUCAAUGAAAUAGGACCCCCUUUUUCAUCUUUAAUCUAUUGAGAUGUCAAUCACUCCCAGUGAUCUUCGAUUCAUCAAUCCCUUCAAGGUUGUCAUAUGAUCCUUUCUUUUAUUCUCGAGAACAAUAGGGAGAACAAUAGAUCUAUUGUUUCUACAUGUGCCUCAUUGUCUUGAUGCCCGUCCAAUUGUGACGUCAUGGGAUUUCCCACCCUCUUUGUUGCCGUUAUCAAUAUCUUAUUGUGUGUGUUGCUAUGGUUAUGGAUGACGUCAUUGGCUCCUCAGAGGAGCCAUGAGGAGCCCAUAGUAAAGUAUCUGGCCCAGAACCCUCACUUUUACACUACUGCUGUGCAAUUUUAUAGUCAGUCUCUCCUAGAGAAACGGUGCUACCUAAUUUGGUACAUGUUAAAGGAUGAGUGCUUUGAAAUUUGGUAUUCAUGUCCUCUUUGAAAAAGGUACUGUUUUUAGAGUAUACCUGUUCGAGGAUGCGUAUUGUAGAAUUUAAUGGUCAGUCCUUGUUAGCAGAAGCAUGUUGUGUAAUUUAGCAACUGUUACAGGAUGAGUUCUGUAUAAUUCGGUACUCUGCCCUGUUUGAAGAAGGGCGUUGUGUAAUGUUAUUAACUGUUAAAAGAUGGGAGCUAUAUAAUCUGCUACUCAAUACCUGUUACACCAUGGGUGUUGUGUAAUUUAGUACUUGUUAAAAGAUGGGUGCUGUGGCAUUUGGAAUUUAGUUCCUGUUUGAAGAAUGGUGCUAUUUCAAUUUUAUUCCUUUUUAAGUAUGGGUGCUUUAAGAAUUUAUAGUCAGUUUCUGUUAUAAAAAUUUGUAAUUCGGUGCCAGUUAAAGGAUGCGCGCUGUAUAAUUUGGCAUUCAUUCCUUCUUUGAAGAGAGAUGCUGUUGUUUAACUCUGUUAUAUACAUGAUACAUGUUAAUUGCUCAAAUGACUCUUGUGAUAAAAUGUGCAUAUUUUUCAGAUUGAUGUCAGAACCUUGAAUGCCAGUAAGCUCCCAUGACUACAAUGUAUUACAUGCACAAUAAAUAUGGUAUAUGGGAACUGGAUAAUUUUCCAUUCCUUUCACUUGAGGUCUUCAGUUUCAUCAUUAAUCAUGUGAAUGUCUGUAUGCCAACCUCUCAUGAUGUCAUGCCAUUACUGGACAUUCCUUAACACUGGUUUAUUUCAGUCACACUACCUAUAACAUUGCCAAAAUAUUCUCACCUGGCUAAAAUGAACUUCUUACUCUUUUUCAGCUCCCCUUCACUGCAUACCAGCUAAUAACCAGCAGUCACUAUAUGCAUAUCAGCCAUUGUCUUCAACUUGUGUAUAUAUGUUGAAUAAAAUAUGAAUGAAA